rnacentral:ncRNA from 1 species
AUCCAGUCCGGUAAGGUAGAGCAAGCCGCCGGUAUCGAGACCUUGGAGUGCGUAGGCUAACGAAGCAUUUAAGCGUAGGUCAGAGAGCAGAGAAGCCGUAAUGCGAAAGCGUAAAGUGAUAGAGCUCCGUAAUAAAAUCGAUUGCGUGGGAUGGUCGUGUACCUCUAACGGUCACCAACAAGGAACAGUCGUUAAGCGAGACUGUGAAAACACGCCGGAGUCCAAGAGC